rnacentral:rRNA from 1 species
CCCUUAGAUGUCCUGGGCCGCACGCGCGUUACACUGAUGCAUUCAACGAGCUUAUAACCUUGGCCGAGAGGCCUGGGCAAUCUUGUUAACGUGCAUCGUGAUAGGGAUAGAUUAUUGAAAUUAUUAAUCUUGACCGAGGAAUUCCUAGUAAACGCAGAUCAUCAAUCUGCAUUGAUUACGUCCCUGCCCUUUGUACACACCGCCCGUCGCACCUACCGAUUGGAUGGUCCGGUGAAGCCUCGGGAUUGUGGUUCUUGCCGCUUUAUUGUGGCGUGACCGCGAGAACUUGUCUAAACCUUAUCAUCUAGAGGAAGGUGAAGUCGUAACA